UACGGGAGGCAGCAGUAGGGAAUAUUGCACAAUGGGCGCAAGCCUGAUGCAGCCAUGCCGCGUGUAUGAAGAAGGCCUUCGGGUUGUAAAGUACUUUCAGUCGUGAGGAAGGUGUUAAGGUUAAUAACCUUAGCAAUUGACGUUAGCGACAGAAGAAGCACCGGCUAACUCCGUGCCAGCAGCCGCGGUAAUACGGAGGGUGCGAGCGUUAAUCGGAAUUACUGGGCGUAAAGGGCACGCAGGCGGUUAAUUAAGUUGGAUGUGAAAUCCCCGGGCUUAACCUGGGAAUGGCAUUCAAGACUGGUUAGCUAGAGUCUUGUAGAGGGGGUAGAAUUCCAUGUGUAGCGGUGAAAUGCGUAGAGAUGUGGAGGAAUACCGGUGGCGAAGGCGGCCCCUGGGACAAAGACUGACGCUCAUGUGCGAAAGCGUGGGGAGCAAACAGGAUUAGAUACC
rnacentral:rRNA from 1 species